AAUAUUGGACAAUGGGGGGAACCCUGACCCAGCCAUGCCGCGUGUGUGAAGAAGGCCUUCUGGUUGUAAAGCACUUUAAGCGAGGAGGUGUCUUACCUGGUUAAUACCUGUGAUAAGUGGACGUUACUCGCAGAAUAAGCACCGUCUACCUCUGUGACAGCAGCCGCGGUAAUACAGAGGUCUCUAGCGUUAAUCGGAUUUACUGGGCGUAAAGCGCGCGUAGGUGGCUAAUUAAGUCAAAUGUGAAAUCCCCGAGCUUAACUUGGGAAUUGCAUUCGAUACUGGUUAGCUAGAGUAUGGGAGAGGAUGGUAGAAUUCCAGGUGUAGCGGUGAAAUGCGUAGAGAUCUGGAGGAAUACCGAUGGCGAAGGCAGCCAUCUGGCCUAAUACUGACACUGAGGUGCGAAAGCAUGGGGAGCAAACA
rnacentral:rRNA from 1 species